rnacentral:rRNA from 1 species
AUUGAACGCUGGCGGCGUGCUUAACACAUGCAAGUCGAUCGGUAACGCGGGGGCAACCCUGGCGACGAGAGGCGGACGGGUGAGGAACGCUUGGGAAUCUGCCCUUCAGCGGGGGACGACACGGGGAAACUCGUGCUAAUACCGCAUACGCUCCACGGAGGAAAGCCGGGGACCGCAAGGCCUGGCACUGAAGGAUGAGCCCAAGUCGGAUUAGCUAGUUGGCGGGGUAACGGCCCACCAAGGCGACGAUCCGUAGCUGGUCUGAGAGGACGAUCAGCCACACUGGGACUGAGACACGGCCCAGACUCCUACGGGAGGCAGCAGUGGGGAAUAUUGGACAAUGGGGGAAACCCUGAUCCAGCGACGCCGCGUGGGUGAAGAAGGCCUGCGGGUUGUAAAGCCCUUUCGGUAGGGACGAAAGCUCUCGACCUAACACGUCGGGAGGUUGACUUAACCUACAAAAGAAGCACCGGCUAACUCUGUGCCAGCCGCCGCCGUAAGAC